rnacentral:misc_RNA from 1 species
GGCUGAUGGAAGUUAUUUAUCAUUUUUUUCUUUAGAUAUGUUGCUUAGUUAGAUCUCAUUGAUGUUCUUUCAUUGCUCUGGCAGAGGAGCCUUUGCAACUUGCAAGGCCAUAAUAAGAUCUAAAAUAGACAGUUCAGAUUUUACCCCAUCUUACCACUAUUGCAAACCUUGGCAUGCCUGCAUACCUGUCAUUCCCAUUCACAUUGAUGGUAUGGUGAUAACCACCAUGUUUGCAUGCCUAUCAUGCAUGUCAUGUGCUCAGAUCUUGAAUGAUGAUCAUUUUUAUUUCCUCUUACCCAGAGGCCGACAAUUACCUUGUAGUGUCUUGCUUGCUGUUAUGGAAAAUUUUGAACUUGCAUUGUUAUGGUAUGACAUUGCAAUCAUG